CCAGCAGCCGCGGUAAUACAGAGGGUGCAAGCGUUAAUCGGAAUUACUGGGCGUAAAGCGAGCGUAGGUGGCUUGAUAAGUCAGAUGUGAAAUCCCCGGGCUUAACCUGGGAACUGCAUCUGAUACUGUCAGGCUAGAAUAGGUGAGAGGAAGGUAGAAUUCCAGGUGUAGCGGUGAAAUGCGUAGAGAUCUGGAGGAAUACCGAUGGCGAAGGCAGCCUUCUGGCAUCAUAUUGACACUGAGGUUCGAAAGCGUGGGUAGCAAACAGGAUCAGAUACCCUGGUAGUCCACGCCGUAAACGAUGUCUACUAGUCGUUGGGUCCCUUGAGGACUUAGUGACGCAGCUAACGCAAUAAGUAGACCGCCUGGGGAGUACGGCCGCAAGGUUAAAACUCAAAUGAAUUGACGGGGGCCCGCACAAGCGGUGGAGCAUGUGGUUUAAUUCGAUGCAACGCGAAGAACCUUACCUGGUCUUGACAUAUCUAGAAUCCUGCAGAGAUGCGGGAGUGCCUUCGGGAAUUAGAAUACAGGUGCUGCAUGGCUGUCGUCAGCUCGUGUCGUGAGAUGUUGGGUUAAGUCCCGCAACGAGCGCAACCCUUGUCCUUAGUUACCAGCGGGUUAAGCCGGGAACUCUAAGGAUACUGCCAGUGACAAACUGGAGGAAGGCGGGGACGACGUCAAGUCAUCAUGGCCCUUACGACCAGGGCUACACACGUGCUACAAUGGUAGGUACAGAGGGCAGCUACACAGCGAUGUGAUGCGAAUCUUUCAAAGCCUAUCGUAGUCCAGAUUGGAGUCUGCAACUCGACUCCAUGAAGUAGGAAUCGCUAGUAAUCGCGGAUCAGAAUGCCGCGGUGAAUACGUUCCCGGGCCUUGUACACACCGCCCGUCACACCAUGGGAGUUGAUUGCACCAGAAGUGGUUAGCCUAACUUAGUGAGGGCG
rnacentral:rRNA from 1 species